CCAAGAAAAUGAAGGCACUGGACACACUGACUGCAGUGCUCCUUAUCACCUUCAUGCUCGGCUCCAGUGCUCAGAUCACCCUGACUCAGUCUCAGUCAGUAGUGUCUGGCCAGUCUGGAGAGACGGUGACCAUCAAAUGCCAGACCAGCAGCUCUGUUUACAGCUCUAAUUAUAAAGUGGACAUUCUAGACUGGGUUCAGCAGAGAUCUGGAGUGCCUUCUAAGAGUAUCAUCUACGAUGGUGUCCGUCGGGUGUCUGGGGUGCCAAGUCGCUUCAGUGGCAUUGGAGAAGGGACUGAAUUCACACUGACCAUCACUGGAGUCCAGCCUGAAGAUGCUGGAUAUUACUACUGCGUACAGUACUUUACUGCACCAUACACAGUGACAAAGAGCUGA